rnacentral:rRNA from 1 species
UGGGGAAUUUUGGACAAUGGGCGAAAGCCUGAUCCAGCCAUGCCGCGUGCAGGAUGAAGGCCUUCGGGUUGUAAACUGCUUUUGUACGGAACGAAAAGACUCUGGUUAAUACCUGGGGUCCAUGACGGUACCGUAAGAAUAAGCACCGGCUAACUACGUGCCAGCAGCCGCGGUAAUACGUAGGGUGCAAGCGUUAAUCGGAAUUACUGGGCGUAAAGCGUGCGCAGGCGGUUAUAUAAGACAGAUGUGAAAUCCCCGGGCUCAACCUGGGAACUGCAUUUGUGACUGUAUAGCUAGAGUACGGCAGAGGGGGAUGGAAUUCCGCGUGUAGCAGUGAAAUGCGUAGAUAUGCGGAGGAACACCGAUGGCGAAGGCAAUCCCCUGGGCCUGUACUGACGCUCAUGCACGAAAGCGUGGGGAGCAAACAGGAUUAGAUACCCUGGUAGUCCACGCCCUAAACGAUGUCAACUGGUUGUUGGGUCUUCACUGACUCAGUAACGAAGCCAACGCGUGAAGUUGACCGCCUGGGGGAGUACGGCUGCAAGGUUGAAAACUUAAAGGAAUUGACGGGGGUCAUAGCUGUUUCCU